rfam:Oryza sativa Japonica Group DNA, chromosome 2, cultivar: Nipponbare, complete sequence.
AAAAAGGCAAACCCUGGGUUUCCGUGUCCAACUUUGACUGUCCGUCUUAUAUGAAUUUUUUUAUAAUUCGUAUUUUUAUUGUUGUUAGAUGAUAAAACAUGAUUAAUAUUUUAUGCGUGACCUGUCUUUUUAAUUUUUUUUUCAUAAUUUUUUUAAAUAAGACGGGCAGUCAAACGUUGGGCACGGAAAACAGUGUUUGUCUUUUUU